GUCGAACGGAAGUUUAAGCAAUUAAACUCUAGUGGCGAACGGGUGAGUAACGCGUAAGCAAUCUGCCCCUAAGACGAGGAUAACAGUUGGAAACGACUGCUAAGACUGGAUAGGAGACAAGAAGGCAUCUUCUUGUUUUUAAAAGACCUAGCAAUAGGUAUGCUUAGGGAGGAGCUUGCGUCACAUUAGUUAGUUGGUGGGGUAAAGGCCUACCAAGACUAUGAUGUGUAGCCGGGCUGAGAGGUUGAACGGCCACAUUGGGACUGAGACACGGCCCAAACUCCUACGGGAGGCAGCAGUAGGAAAUUUUCGGCAAUGGAGGAAACUCUGACCGAGCAACGCCGCGUGAACGAUGAAGUAUUUCGGUACGUAAAGUUCUUUUAUUAGGGAAGAAUAAAUGAUGGAAAAAUCAUUCUGACGGUACCUAAUGAAUAAGCCCCGGCUAACUAUGUGCCAGCAGCCGCGGUAAUACAUAGGGGGCAAGCGUUAUCCGGAAUUAUUGGGCGUAAAGGGUGCGUAGGCGGUUAAAUAAGUUUAUGGUCUAAGUGCAAUGCUCAACAUUGUGAUGCUAUAAAAACUGUUUAGCUAGA
rnacentral:rRNA from 1 species